rnacentral:rRNA from 1 species
AUAUGGUAGGAGAGCGUUCUGUAAGCCUGCGAAGGUGUCUUGUAAAGGAUGCUGGAGGUAUCAGAAGUGCGAAUGCUGACAUGAGUAGCGAUAAUGGGGGUGAAAAGCCUCCACGCCGUAAGCCCAAGGUUUCCUGUUCAACGUUCAUCGGAGCAGGGUGAGUCGGCCCCUAAGGCGAGGCAGAGAUGCGUAGCUGAUGGGAAGCAGGUUAAUAUUCCUGCACCGUCGUAUGAUGCGAUGGGGGGACGGAUCGCGGAAGGUUGUCCAACUGUUGGAAUAGUUGGUUUUUGGCUCAUAGAAGGCGCUUAGGCAAAUCCGGGCGCGGAAUUCAAGGGGUUGAGACGAGUGAACUUGUUCACGAAGCAAUCGGAAGUGGUUCCAAGAAAAGCCUCUAAGCUUCAGUCAUACGAGACCGUACCGCAAACCGACACAGGUGGGCGAGAUGAGUAUUCUAAGGCGCUUGAGAGAACUCGGGAGAAGGAACUCGGCAAAUUGGUACCGUAACUUCGGGAAAAGGUACGCCCCGGUAGCUUGAUUGGUUUACUCCAUGAGGGUGAAAGGGUUGCAAUAAACUGGUGGCUGCGACUGUUUAAUAAAAACACAGCACUCUGCAAACACGAAAGUGGACGUAUAGGGUGUGACGCCUGCCCGGUGCUGGAAGAUUAAAUGAUGGGGUGCAAGCUCUUGAUUGAAGUCCCAGUAAACGGCGGCCGUAACUAUAACGGUCCUAAGGUAGCGAAAUUCCUUGUCGGGUAAGUUCCGACCUGCACGAAUGGCGUAACGAUGGCCACACUGUCUCCUCCCGAGACUCAGCGAAGUUGAAAUGUUUGUGAUGAUGCAAUCUACCCGCGGCUAGACGGAAAGACCCCAUGAACCUUUACUGUAGCUUUGCAUUGGACUUUGAACCAAUCUGUGUAGGAUAGGUGGGAGGCUUUGAAGCGGGGACGCUAGUUCUCGUGGAGCCAACCUUGAAAUACCACCCUGGUUUGUUUGAGGUUCUAACCUUGGUCCGUUAUCCGGAUCGGGGACAGUGCAUGGUAGGCAGUUUGACUGGGGCGGUCUCCUCCUAAAGUGUAACGGAGGAGUUCGAAGGUACGCUAGAUACGGUCGGACAUCGUGUUGAUAGUGCAAUGGCAUAAGCGUGCUUAACUGCGAGACUGACAAGUCGAGCAGGUACGAAAGUAGGACAUAGUGAUCCGGUGGUUCUGUAUGGAAGGGCCAUCGCUCAACGGAUAAAAGGUACUCUGGGGAUAACAGGCUGAUUCCUCCCAAGAGUUCAUAUCGACGGGGGAGUUUGGCACCUCGAUGUCGGCUCAUCACAUCCUGGGGCUGUAGCCGGUCCCAAGGGUAUGGCUGUUCGCCAUUUAAAGUGGUACGUGAGCUGGGUUUAAAACGUCGUGAGACAGUUUGGUCCCUAUCUGCCGUGGGCGUUGGAAAUUUGAAGGGGGCUGCUCCUAGUACGAGAGGACCGGAGUGGACGAACCUCUGGUGUACCGGUUGUCACGCCAGUGGCAUUGCCGGGUAGCUAAGUUCGGAAGAGAUAACCGCUGAAAGCAUCUAAGCGGGAAACUUGCCUUGAGAUGAGAUUUCCCAGAGCCUUGAGCUCUUUGAAGGGUCGUUCGAGACCAGGACGUUGAUAGGCUGGGUGUGGAAGUGCAGUAAUGCAUUAAGCUAACCAGUACUAAUUGCCCGUACGGCUUGUCCCU